rfam:Dialister invisus CAG:218 genomic scaffold, scf43
AAAUAAAGUCCGUAUAGUAUAAUAACAGCACAUGGCUUUACAGUUCUGAUUUAUGGCAGUCUUCGGGUCCCGUGCAAUGGAAUCCCAUGAAUCCUGUCAGGUCCGAGAGGAAGCAGCAGUAAGUGGUCCUUUCUAUGUGCCACGGUGUAUUCUGAAGGCUGUCAUAAAUGAGAGUUGUAAAGUCUUUUUUU